rnacentral:rRNA from 1 species
GACGAACGCUGGCGGCGUGCUUAACACAUGCAAGUCGAACGGAAAGGCCCUGCUUUUGUGGGGUGCUCGAGUGGCGAACGGGUGAGUAACACGUGAGUAACCUGCCCUUGACUUUGGGAUAACUUCAGGAAACUGGGGCUAAUACCUGAUAGGAGCUCCUGCUGCAUGGUGGGGGUUGGAAAGUUUCGGCGGUUGGGGAUGGACUCGCGGCUUAUCAGCUUGUUGGUGGGGUAGUGGCUUACCAAGGCUUUGACGGGUAGCCGGCCUGAGAGGGUGACCGGCCACAUUGGGACUGAGAUACGGCCAAGACUCCUACGGGAGGCAGCAGUGGGGAAUAUUGCACAAUGGGCGGAAGCCUGAUGCAGCAACGCCGCGUGCGGGAUGACGGCCUUCGGGUUGUAAACCGCUUUCGCCUGUGACGAAGCGUGAGUGACGGUAAUGGGUAAAGAAGCACCGGCUAACUACGUG